GAUGAACGCUGGCGGCGUGCCUAAUACAUGCAAGUCGAGCGAACAGACGAGGAGCUUGCUCCUCUGACGUUAGCGGCGGACGGGUGAGUAACGCGUGGAUAACCUACCUAUAAGACUGGGAUAACUUCGGGAAACCGGAGCUAAUACCGGAUAAUAUAUUGAACCGCAUGGUUCAAUGGUGAAAGACGGUUUUGCUGUCACUUAUAGAUGGAUCCGCGCCGCAUUAGCUAGUUGGUAAGGUAACGGCUUACCAAGGCGACGAUGCGUAGCCGACCUGAGAGGGUGAUCGGCCACACUGGAACUGAGACACGGUCCAGACUCCUACGGGAGGCAGCAGUAGGGAAUCUUCCGCAAUGGGCGAAAGCCUGACGGAGCAACGCCGCGUGAGUGAUGAAGGUCUUCGGAUCGUAAAACUCUGUUAUUAGGGAAGAACAAAUGUGUAAGUAACUAUGCACGUCUUGACGGUACCUAAUCAGAAAGCCACGGCUAACUACGUG
rnacentral:rRNA from 1 species